rnacentral:rRNA from 1 species
GUGCCAGCAGCUGCGGUUAUACAAAAAAUACAAGUAAAUUUUAUUAAAUUAAGUUAAAUUGAUAAGUAUUAAUAAUAAAAAAAUUUUUAGGUGAAAUUUUAAUUUUUUUAUUUUUAAAAUUAAAAGAAAUGUUGAAGCUAAAAAAUUUUGUUAAUAAACUAGGAUUAGAUACCCUAUUAUAAAAAAAUGUAUUUUUGAAAAAAAAAUUAGAGUAGUAAUAGUUAUGGUCUUGAAACUCAAAAAAUUUGGCGGUAUUUUAGUCUAUUCAGAGGAACCUGUGGUGUAAUCGAUAAUCCACGAUGAAUCUUACUUAUUUUUGUUUUUCAAUUUGUAUACCGCCGUUAUUUAAAAAUUUUUUGAAAAUAAUAAUUUUUAUAAUUUUUUAUUAAAGAGAAAGUCAGGUCAAGGUGCAGUUUAUAUUUAAGUAUUUCAUGGGUUACAAUAAAUUUAUUUAUACGGACUAAAUUAUGAAAUUAGUUUAUGAAGGGGGAUUUGGUAGUAAAUUUUUAAAGAUUAAAAAAUUGAUUUUAGCUCUAAAAUAUG